rnacentral:rRNA from 1 species
UGCAGUCGAACGGCAGCACGGGAGCAAUCCUGGUGGCGAGUGGCGAACGGGUGAGUAAUAUAUCGGAACGUGCCCAGUCGUGGGGGAUAACGCAGCGAAAGCUGUGCUAAUACCGCAUACGAUCUAUGGAUGAAAGCGGGGGACUCGCAAGGGCCUCGCGCGAUUGGAGCGGCCGAUAUCAGAUUAGGUAGUUGGUGUGGUAAAAGCGCACCAAGCCGACGAUCUGUAGCUGGUCUGAGAGGACGACCAGCCACACUGGAACUGAGACACGGUCCAGACUCCUACGGGAGGCAGCAGUGGGGAAUUUUGGACAAUGGGCGCAAGCCUGAUCCAGCAAUGCCGCGUGCAGGAUGAAGGCCUUCGGGUUGUAAACUGCUUUUGUACGGAACGAAACGGUCUGCUUUAAUACAGUGGGCUAAUGACGGUACCGUAAGAAUAAGCACCGGCUAACUACGUGCCAGCAGCCGCGGUAAUACGUAGGGUGCGAGCGUUAAUCGGAAUUACUGGGCGUAAAGCGUGCGCAGGCGGUUAUAUAAGACAGAUGUGAAAUCCCCGGGCUCAACCUGGGACCUGCAUUUGUGACUGUAUAGCUAGAGUACGGUAGAGGGGGAUGGAAUUCCGCGUGUAGCAGUGAAAUGCGUAGAUAUGCGGAGGAACACCGAUGGCGAAGGCAAUCCCCUGGACCUGUACUGACGCUCAUGCACGAAAGCGUGGGGAGCAAACAGGAUUAGAUACCCUGGUAGUCCACGCCCUAAACGAUGUCAACUGGUUGUUGGGUCUUCACUGACUCAGUAACGAAGCUAACGCGUGAAGUUGACCGCCUGGGGAGUACGG